rnacentral:rRNA from 1 species
UGGGGAAUUUUGGACAAUGGGGGAAACCCUGAUCCAGCCAUCCCGCGUGUGCGAUGAAGGCCUUCGGGUUGUAAAGCACUUUUGGCAGGAAAGAAACGUCGCGGGUUAAUACCCCGCGAAACUGACGGUACCUGCAGAAUAAGCACCGGCUAACUACGUGCCAGCAGCCGUGGUAAUACGUAGGGUGCAAGCGUUAAUCGGAAUUACUGGGCGUAAAGCGUGCGCAGGCGGUUCGGAAAGAAAGAUGUGAAAUCCCAGAGCUUAACUUUGGAACUGCAUUUUUAACUACCGGGCUAGAGUGUGUCAGAGGGAGGUGGAAUUCCGCGUGUAGCAGUGAAAUGCGUAGAUAUGCGGAGGAACACCGAUGGCGAAGGCAGCCUCCUGGGAUAACACUGACGCUCAUGCACGAAAGCGUGGGGAGCAAACAGGAUUAGAUACCCUGGUAGUCCACGCCCUAAACGAUGUCAACUAGCUGUUGGGGCCUUCGGGCCUUGGUAGCGCAGCUAACGCGUGAAGUUGACCGCCUGGGGAGUACGGUCGCAAGAUUAAAACUCAAAUGAAUUGACGGGGGUCGA